CUCUCCAUGUGCGCCUUCAAUCUAUGUGAGAGAGAGCAAGUGGCUUUGUCUGCUCACUGCCCGCCAACAAUAACAUUCACUAUGCACAGACUCAACAAGAAAGCCAGCUUCUUUCUACGGUGCUACCCGUUCCAGGGUUAGGACCGUAACCAUUUGAGGACUUGAAAAUUAGCUGGAGCUGAGAGGAUCACCAAAACAAAUGAGAAUACCAACCAUGCCGACAACCAUCCGUGGAGAUUAGUGGACAAAAGGCUGGACAAUCCAUGACUUCUGAUUGGGAUUUGCAUGUACGGUCACUGUGGGGAAGACGUCGUCGAUGCACUUACUGAUGAAGCCGAUGACUGA